rnacentral:rRNA from 1 species
UACGAAGGGGGCUAGCGUUGCUCGGAAUUACUGGGCGUAAAGGGCGCGUAGGCGGCACUGUUAGUCAGGCGUGAAAGUCCUGGGCUCAACUCCGGAUCUGCGGUGGGUACGGGCAGACUAGAGUGAUGUAGGGGAGACUGGAAUUCCUGGUGUAGCGGUGAAAUGCGCAGAUAUCAGGAGGAACACCGAUGGCGAAGGCAGGUCUCUGGGCACUUACUGACGCUGAGGAGCGAAAGCGUGGGGAGCGAACAGG